AGCCUUUCGCCCUCCACAUCGCUAUUCCCCACCCCCUCCACCUUCCUCUCAUCACGCACUCUGCCCACGCACCCCACCGAUGAUGGCAAUGGAGACCAUCGAGCCUCGUGGAGAUGAUAUGGUUUCAGGACUCGCCGAACUACUCCACGGCCGUGAAUCACCAAUGAUAGGUAAAUCAGAUCCCGGCACGGCUCAUGGCAUCGACCUUCUGGCAUCAAUAGCCGCCGAUCUGGAUUUGGAACCAAGCUCCAGAUCCGAAGUGGUUCUUCCCCAUCGCCCUGAAACCGGCGGUGGCGCCGGUCAAUGUCGAUGGUAUUCCUCCGGUAACAGUCCAUCGUAAGUGCAGCCCUACAUUUUGAUUCCCCCUCCCUAUGUCAUUUAAGUUCUUAGUGCUAACCACGGCUGUUCUUAUUGGUGAUUGUCCAUGAAUCAUGGAUGCGGCGACAACGAGCGAGAGAGCUUUGGCUGAGGUGAAGGCGGGCAAUCAGUUGGAGGAGGAGGCAUGUGAAUGGCUCAAGAGUGACGCGGCAGCAUGAAGCAGCUACGUCUUGAUGACGCAAGAUGACGCGGCGGCGUCUCGCUAGUGCCAGGAGGAGGUGGGGGCGACCACUGCGCCAGAAUCCUCGUCGGCGCAAGAGUGACAUACACAUCUUCUUGGCGGCUGCGGCGGCCGCACGCGUCGGUGGCUGCUGGCAUCAUGUGCUCGUUCAUUGGAGUUUCUCUGUACGAAUUUCUCAAGGGGUGUGCAUCAAACCCAAUUAAAAAACAGUAAAAGCCACCUAUGCGAUCAUGGGGGGCGGGCAGAUUUCAUAUAAUCUGUCUCUCGCAUGAGCUAAACCUAUGAAGAUUGGCUUCUUUCGUACGGCUCUGGUAUGCAAGAUUGAAUAACUCUUAUUGCCUAUGUUCUUUCCUUUGCUAUUGCUAUCAACAAUUUAGAAUUGUUCUAGCUAAAGAACAUAAUUAGUCUAAAAUGAGUAGGAAUGGGCAGAAUAUGCUUGAUGCAUGAAUCAUGACAAAAUGGCAUUUAUUGAUCAUGCAUUCUGUUAUUUUGGAUCUUCUGGAAAUAAAAUGUCAUUGCCAAAUGUUGAUAAUUUGAGGUCUGGUUUAAUUCCUUCUAGCCAUGAACCACUUUAGGAUUUAAAGUAUGCAAUCCUAAUGCGAAUACUGUUAAACAGCAACUUGUUAUCCAUGAUCUUUUGCUCACUCAUAUUAUGUUGAAAUAUACGGAUGUUCCAUGUGUGUGUGUGUGUGUGUGUGUGUGUUUGGGGGGGGGGGGGGGGCGGGGCAAUUCUGGGUCUAUUCAGGAUUACUUUUCUGGGACUAUUUUUCCACAAGUCAAGGAUGGACCCUAUGACACGGCAUGUAUGUAUGUAGAUGGAAACUGUCAAUAUUAGUACUUUGCUUGUAGCACGGUUCUGUCUGAGUAAUUGUCGGCAUGAAUAAUUUUAACUUUAAUUUUGAUCUUUAGUUUUAAUCUGUUUCAGUACCUGAUGAAUUUACCAUCCAGUUUGCGAGGAUGUUUUAUUUGCCAAGUUUGACGUCUACUUGAUUAUGUGCGUUGAAUGCCAUUGUCAUAACAGUCAUGGGCGAUGGCGGAAGUAGGCAAAACCUUCUCCAAUGUUAGGAUGAUAUACUAACAACCUUGGCAUUUCACAGAAGUAAGCACCGAUUUACCGCUCGUGCAUGGGUCGUGAUCACACUUUGUGGGGGUACACAUCUUAGGCCUCUUCUGGUUCAUAGGAUAGGAUUAUCAUAGGAAUAGGAAUUUUGUAGGAAAUGAAAUGGCAUGUAUCUCAAAUCCUAUGAGUAGGAAUAGGAAAUGAGAUGUCAUUUGGUUGACACAAAAGGAAUUUUUCCAUUGAGUCUGGCUCAUUUUUAUUUUCCUAUGAAAUGUGGAGGAUAAGAACCAAUCCUAUAUAGGAAUAGAAAUCUAUUCCUAUGAACCAAAGGGCUCUAAAGGAAAAAAUCCUAUAAAAAUCCUAUCCUCUAAAAUUCCUAUGAAAUUUCUCCAAACCAAAACCAAAGGAGACAUUAAAAUGGAAUCCGCCACCUUGACGGCAGGGCAUUGAGACUGUCGCUGAAACAGCUUCCCUGGUGCCUCGUUUUGUGUAGAGAGAGAUACAGCCCCAUGCUCAUUAAAAGAAGAGAGAUUCUUUAUUCGUGGCACACUGUAGCAGUAUCACCUAUGGAGCUGUAAAUCGGUGCGGCAUAGACUCAGAUGUACUAGUGACGUGCACGUGAACUGGUGUGUCCGGCAAUUAUGCUGCAAACUGUCACGUGCUUCAAAGAUUCAUAUCAUGUUCCACAUCCAAGCUGUUGUUGGUACAGUAUGAAAAACAAGUUGUUAUUGGUACAAGAUCACAUCUGUUCUUGGUACAGUAAUAAAAAUGUCUGUUCUUGGUACACUAAAAAAAUGUAUGUUCUUGGUACAAGAUCACAUUGCAUCAUGAUGUUGUUCCUAGUAUGGGAGGGGGCCUCCUUUUAAGUACGUGGACAGGUGCCUGACAUUUCGACGCUACCUAUAAGAUUAACAUUUUCUUCGAAAAGGUUACUGCUAGAUUAUCAUGGGCAUUCGUGUUUCCAAGUGUCAUCAAUUUUGAUAAAAUCACAACUAAGAGUCAAUUACAUUCGUGGUGCUACAACUUGACGUAAAUGGUCAUUUUGGUGCUAUAAGUCAUGGUAUACAUUGAAGUGGUGCGUAAACUUGACAUUGACGUGCAAAUACGGUGCUUAUCUCAUUUAUAUACGGAGUCGGUGCUGACCAGGCGCAUGGGGCCCGCUGUCAGCCACUCGACCAGAGAGAAGGGACGUGUGGCCAGAUUUUUUUCAAAAGCACCCUUGAAAUAUUUUUUCACAAAAAAAUCCCUGUUGAGGCCAGAUUUUUUUCAAAAGCACCCUCGAAAUAUUUUUUCCUAAAAAAAUCCCUGUUGACGUGGGAAGAUUCUGUCACCUCUAUGAGAAGUGGGUCCCGCAUGUCACCUGAGACCGAAAACAAAAUGCCGGGAUCGAACCCACAACAAUGUCCUCACAAACAAGCUGGCAAACCACCGCACCAAUUAAGUCUUCUACGGGCAAUACGGGUAAACAUAUUAUAUGUAUUUUAAUCGCAGCGCAGGCGGAGGUUAAAUGGGCUGUACAUCUUGCGGCUUAGUUUCCACCUGUUAGUUUCUUUUAUUUUUCAGCAGAAAGUAUCUAAAUUAUAAGUUCUUAAAAAAUCUAAAUUAUAUUCUCGGUAAUAAAAAUAACGAAUGAAUAUUUGUGUUUAUAAAUAUUGUACUACCUCUGUUCACUUUUAUAAGACGUUUUAGACAUUCAGACACUGUUGAAAACAGCACAAAGCAAGCUGUCUGAAACGUCUUAUAAAAACAAACAAAGGGAGUACAUGCAAACAGAAUAAAUUAUUUUAUAAAACUUUUCACAUAUUAUUUAAAUAAUAUUUAUGAAUUAUAACAGUGUUUGCAAACUA